AGCGAACAUUGGCGGUAGGCUUAACACAUGCAAGUCGAGCGAGGCGUAGUAGUCGAGCGGCGAACGGGUGAGUAAUACAUGGGAAUCUACCCUGAAGUGGGGGAUAACGUUCAGAAAUGGACGCUAAUACCGCAUAAUCCACAUUGAGAAAGCGUUGCAGCGCUUUAGGAUGAGCCCAUGGCUGAUUAGCUAGUUGGUGAGGUAAUGGCUCACCAAGGCGACGAUCAGUAGCUGGUCUGGGAGGAUGAUCAGCCACACUGGAACUGAGACACGGUCCAGACUCCUACGGGAGGCAGCAGUGGGGAAUCUUGCGCAAUGGGGGCAACCCUGACGCAGCCAUACCGCGUGAGUGAUGAAGGUCUUCGGAUUGUAAAGCUCUUUCGGCGGGGACGACGAUGACGGUACCCGCAAAAGAAGUCACGGCUAACUUCGUGCCAGCCGCCGCAGUAA
rnacentral:rRNA from 1 species